rnacentral:rRNA from 1 species
CUUGGUCAUUUAGAGGAAGUAAAAGUCGUAACAAGGUUUCCGUAGGUGAACCUGCGGAAGGAUCAUUCAUAAUAAGUGUUUUAUGGCACUUUUUAAAUCCAUAUCCACCUUGUGUGCAAUGUCAGUCGAUCUUCUUCAUGGAGAUCGACCAAACAUCAACCUUUAUCUUUUGACUCUUUGUCUGAAAAAUAUUAUGAAUAAACAAUUCAAAAUACAACUUUCAACAACGGAUCUCUUGGCUCUCGCAUCGAUGAAGAACGCAACGAAAUGCGAUACGUAAUGUGAAUUGCAGAAUUCAGUGAAUCAUCGAAUCUUUGAACGCAUAUUGCGCUCUUUGGUAUUCCGAAGAGCAUGCUUGUUUGAGUAUCAGUAAACACCUCAAAGCUUUUGGAUUUUUUAAUCGAAAAGCUUUGGACUUGAGCAAUCCCAACACCAAUCUUUUUGAGAUCGGUGGCGGGUUGCUUGAAAUGCAGGUGCAGCUGGACAUUCUCCUGAGCUAAAAGCAUAUUCAUUUAGUCCCGUCAAACGGAUUAUUACUUUUGCUGCAGCUAACAUAAAGGGAGUUUGACCGUAUUGGCUGACUGAUGCAGGAUUUCACAAGGGUCGGCAACGAUUCUUGUUAAACUCGAUCUCAAAUCAAGUAAGACUACCCGCUGAACUUAAGCAUAUCAAUAAGCGGAGGA